rnacentral:piRNA from 1 species
UAACAAACCUGGGACACACCUUUGCCCUGC